UAGUUGUAUGAAAGGAGAGAAGGUUAGCACUCCCCUUGACAAGGAUGGUUAGUUAAUAGUUCAAAAAUAAAUCAGUUAUAUAUAAUAUAUAAAAUAUAUAUCAUCUAUCAUACAAUGUUU